rnacentral:rRNA from 1 species
UACAGAGGGGGCAAGCGUUGUUCGGAAUUACUGGGCGUAAAGGGCGCGUAGGCGGCCCGCUAAGUCGAACGUGAAAUCCCCGGGCUUAACCCGGGAACUGCGUCCGAUACUGGCAGGCUUGAAUCCGGGAGAGGGAUGUGGAAUUCCAGGUGUAGCGGUGAAAUGCGCAGAUAUCAGGAGGAACACCGGUGGCGAAGGCGGGUCUCUGGGCAACAACUGACGCUGGAGGAGCGAAAGCGUGGGGGAGCGAACGGG